rnacentral:tRNA from 1 species
CAAACUAUAGCUUAAUUAAAGCAUCUUGCUUACACCAAGAAAAUGUCUUCUAAUCAGGACUAUUUUGACUCCACUG